rnacentral:rRNA from 1 species
AUGCCGUUGCCAACAGGCAACCGACGCGCCUCUCCCUUCGUGUCCCUAUGUAUCAUCGCGUCCCUACGGGAUGUAUAUAUUGUAACAAACCCAAUCAAUGAGAACAGCGAUUCCACUACUUGUCAAUUGUCUCUCUUUUCUUUUAACAAGUUAUCAGCACGCGCUCCGGCGAGAGCAAUUCCGACGAGAAGACAUGGAGAACAGGGAAAAGGUGAGAAACGGAACCAUGCCUCGAGUUUCGAUGUCCCUGUUUCUCCGCCUCCUUUGCGUCCAUGGCCGUGGCCGCCGCUUCGAGCAUCGUGUGCGCGACCUCCGCCGCUUCCGGCGUGGAGGUUGGAACCAGCGCCGCCAGGACCUCCGUCGCAACCACCGGAACGGCGCGGGGCCGUCGAACCAGCCUGUGCAGCCCGAUGUGCCCGCCCGGCUUCUGGCCGGUCCGGCUGCACCAAGGCUCGAGGCCGAUGGGGGCAUCGACCCGGCGCUGGCGGCUCCGCCGCCGCCGUUCUGGUGCUCGGUGCAUGGCUGGGUAGUAUGCCCCCUGCACCAGUACGACUUUCCCGUCAUGAUCCGCCGCUGCAGCCUUCGACCCCAGCGGUUGUUGAAGCAGAAGCCGGCGUGCCGCUCCAGAGGUUGCCGACGGUCGCGCGUGUCCCGGGCGACGCCGCCGCGCCGCCGCGCCUGCCGUCCCCGACUCCGUCGAACGGCCACUCCGGCCGCUCCGGCUCACGGAGCCCCGCGGCACUCGGGCUCGCGAACGGCACCGCGUCCGGCCCCCUCGCCCUCGCGCGCUGCGCGCUGCGCCCGCCCGCGCCUUUGGCGCCGCUGCACCCGUCCGCGCUGCUUUAUGGCCUGCAUCUCACCAGUGAGGAUUCUCCACUGGUGACGCCCGCGAGAGCGACCACAUGGCGCUGCUCCCCACCCCGCGGAUUUGUCGGCGCGGUCCGCAGUGACCAACAUCGUGGUGUCCCUCCGGCGUGGCUCGAACCAUCCAAGCGGUGGUUCUGUGAAGCAAAUCGAUUGAUUUGUGCCCACGUAGGGAAUCACGAUGGAGAACCUUAUCUCUUCGUCUCUUUACACUAA